UGGGGAAUAUUGCACAAUGGGCGAAAGCCUUAUGCAGCGACGCCGCGUGAGGGAUGACGGCCUUCGGGUUGUAAACCUCUUUCAGCAGGGACGAAGCGCAAGUGACGGUACCUGCAGAAGAAGCACCGGCUAACUACGUGCCAGCAGCCGCGGUAAUACGUAGGGUGCAAGCGUUGUCCGGAAUUACUGGGCGUAAAGAGUUCGUAGGCGGUUUGUCGCGUCGUUUGUGAAAACCAGCAGCUCAACUGCUGGCUUGCAGGCGAUACGGGCAGACUUGAGUACUGCAGGGGAGACUGGAAUUCCUGGUGUAGCGGUGAAAUGCGCAGAUAUCAGGAGGAACACCGGUGGCGAAGGCGGGUCUCUGGGCAGUAACUGACGCUGAGGAACGAAAGCGUGGGUAGCGAACAGG
rnacentral:rRNA from 1 species